rnacentral:rRNA from 1 species
UACAGAGGUCCCGAGCGUUGUUCGGAUUCACUGGGCGUAAAGGGCUCGUAGGCGGUUUGUCGCGUCGGGAGUGAAAUCCACUGGCUUAACUGGUGGCUUGCUUUCGAUACGGGCAGACUGGAGGUAUGCAGGGGAGAACGGAAUUCCUGGUGUAGCGGUGAAAUGCGCAGAUAUCAGGAGGAACACCGGUGGCGAAGGCGGUUCUCUGGGCAUGUCCUGACGCUGAGGAGCGAAAGUGUGGGGAGCGAACAGG